UAUGGUUGUGCCAGCAGCCGCGGUAAUACGUAUGGUGCAAGCGUUAUCCGGAUUUACUGGGUGUAAAGGGAGCGCAGGCGGUGCGGCAAGUCUGAUGUGAAAGCCCGGGGCUCAACCCCGGUACUGCAUUGGAAACUGUCGUACUAGAGUGUCGGAGGGGUAAGUGGAAUUCCUAGUGUAGCGGUGAAAUGCGUAGAUAUUAGGAGGAACACCAGUGGCGAAGGCGGCUUACUGGACGAUAACUGACGCUGAGGCUCGAAAGCGUGGGGAGCAAACAGG
rnacentral:rRNA from 1 species